rfam:Lysinimicrobium mangrovi strain DSM 24868 genome assembly, contig: Ga0111703_104
AGGAGCACGUGCCCCGUGGCCUCCUCCCGGAUCGCUCUGGCGGACUUCCCCCCGCCAGAGGAGCUCGGAGGGAGACCACGAGGCACGAGCACAGCCCA